rnacentral:rRNA from 1 species
AUAUGUAGGGGGCGAGCGUUGUCCGGAAUGAUUGGGCGUAAAGGGCGCGUAGGCGGCCCGGUAAGUCUGGAGUGAAAGUCCUGUUUUUAAGAUGGGAAUUGCUUUGGAUACUGUCGGGCUUGAGUGCAGGAGAGGUAAGUGUAAUUCCCAGUGUAGCGGUGAAAUGCGUAGAGAUUGGGAGGAACACCAGUGGCGAAGGCGACUUACCGGACUGUAACUGACGCUGAGGCGCGAAAGUGUGGGGAGCAAACAGGAUUAGAUACCCUGGUAGUCCACACUGUAAACGAUGAAUGCUAGGUGUAGGGGGUAUCGACCCCUUCUGUGCCGCAGUCAACACAAUAAGCAUUCCGCCUGGGGAGUACGGCCGCAAGGUUGAAACUCAAAGGAAUUGACGGGG